UUUUAAAAAUAAAUAUUUGACGAAAAGUUAAGUCAGAGAAAAGCAAAAUUGAUAAACCGCGCUGCUUAUCUGGAAAGAACAAUAAAGUAGAAAAACCUGAAAAGUGUUACCAAGGUAUAAAGGAGGGAUUUGAAAGAGAUGAGCGUUGUGUACGACUCUAUGCUGUAAGUUUGAAAAAAAAUCUACAAAAAAAAAAAAAAAAAGUCAAGCAUCACCUUUUUUUUCUUUGAAGAGCAUGAAAUUGCGUCCCGCUUCCAAAAAAAACUGAUAAUUACAGCAAGCUUUAGAAAUGGGGAUUAUUUUGGUCAUUGAAUCUGAAAACAUCAAGAAGGAACAACUGAGACUUCUGUUAGUUUCUUUAUAUAUCUCACCACAGGUCUGAUCAUGGGCAGCAGUUAAGCCUCCCGAGAUCACUCCAGACUCUGAUGUUUUAUUUCACCCAGAGUAGAAGCGGGUCGCUUACCAACACACAGAGAAAUCUCAAGGAAACCUUGCUCAAACCCACACCCAUGGUUCGGUGGCAUGGAUGGGCUUCCCGUCAAGGUGCACUUGGCCAAGGCCACAGGCACUGAGGCCUUGGGGUGGGAUCUACAGCCUCCAUCUGUGUCCUCACCACCUGUGGUUUCGAGAGUCUCCAAGGGCCUUGUGGAAGAAUUGAGGCAAGGAGAUGCUGAUGUUCGUUGGCCUGGCCCAAUUCCAAGUUUGAUAAUUAGCCGUCCCCCUUCCUCAGUCUUCCUGCCAUUUCCCUGAGACAGACGGGCUCUUGCACA